UAGCCGUAAACGAUACUCGCUAGGUGUCGGCCACGGUGCGACCGUUGUCGGCGCCGUAGGGAAGCCGUGAAGCGAGCCACCUGGGAAGUACGGCCGCAAGGCUGAAACUUAAAGGAAUUGGCGGGGGAGCACCACAACGGGUGGAGCUUGCGGUUUAAUUGGAUUCAACGCCGGAAAUCUUACCGGGACCGACAGCAACAUGAAGGCCAGGCUGAAGACUUUGCCGGAUUAGCUGAGAGGAGGUGCAUGGCGUAGUCGUGU
rnacentral:rRNA from 1 species